UGGCCAAGUAAAUCAAAGGGCAGGAAACAGCUAAAAUUAGAUGUGGAAGGGAGAUGAAACCACAGCUCUUUUGAACUCAGAAGCAUCCAUUAACCCAACAGCAUAAGGAGUUUCUGGUGUUCUGGUGGCCAGAUCUUCUAGUGCCUCCUUGGCAUAGCCACGAGCCUCCACAUUGAUGGGUAGAUGUGGAGUGCAUGGUAUCAACUGUUCUGACACCUCUGGGAGAGGAUACUUGGAGAAGAAUCCCUCCCUUGUGCUCACUCCUCUCAGAGGAAAG